AGAGUUUGAUCAUGGCUCAGGAUGAACGCUAGCUACAGGCUUAACACAUGCAAUCGAGGGGAAACGACAUCGAAAGCUUGCUUUUGAUGGGCGUCGACCGGCGCACGGGUGAGUAACGCGUAUCCAACCUGCCCAUCACUUGGGGAUAACCUUGCGAAAGUAAGACUAAUACCCAAUGACGUCUCUAGAAGACAUCUGAAAGAGAUUAAAGAUUUAUCGGUGAUGGGUGGGGAUGCGUCUGAUUAGCUUGUUGGCGGGGUAACGGCCACCAAGGCGACGAUCAGUAGGGGUUCUGAGGGAAGUCCCCANAUUGGAACUGAGACACGGUCCAAACUCCUACGGGAGGCA
rnacentral:rRNA from 1 species